AAGCAGCUUAAAUAGCCUGCUUCUCCCCUCAUUUGGGGCACUCUCAGCCAUGUGGCUCGUGCCGGGAGGGAGCAGAGUGAGAGACAGUCGCGGGAGAAGCCGGGAGCGGGAGCCACGCUGACCUCACCGACGGACCGGACCCGGAGACCCCUCACCCAUUUUACCGCGUUAAAGACUUUUUGAAGUAAAGAGGAGCAUCUCAUCUGAACCUGAUGUCUAUCAUGGAUAUUUAACUGCAAUUCUGUGAGUAUCCCAACUUAACCAUGAAGAUGAACUGCAAACUGUAAGUCAAAAGUUUCUCAUUACUCUUGGGCACAUUGAUGUAUUUUGGCUUCCUGGUAGGAAUGUGCGAUAUACGAUAUCAACGAUAAAAAAUG
rnacentral:lncRNA from 1 species